UGAGAAAAAUAGGUUCUGACCAAAAAAGUAGACAAAAAGUCAAUGGUCAGAGUCAACAAGUAGCGUCGGCCAUAGCGUAAGCCAGAAUGCGUCGCAAAACACUAUUCAUGCUGCAGAAUGCAGAAACGUGUUUUUGGCUCGGAUUUGGCUCCAAAAGCACUUAUAAGCCUCGAAAAUCACUUAUUUAAGCCCAGAAAUUCAUGUCAAACAAUUACCACACUUAUAACAUGAUUAAAACAACUUAAAUCAACUUAAAUCAUAAAAAACAACCCAUUAAUUCAUGGAUUCUCAUCAUUUUACAUAAACCCACAAAUUUAUCAAAGACAACAAUCAACAUACAAAGGAAUCAUUUUUGCCAUAGCAAAACAUCAUUCAAGUAUGGGUAAACAUCUACAAUCAUGCAACAAUUCAUAAAACUUGAAUUUAAACAAAUUCCCAUAAACCCUUACAAACCCCCACCUAGAGAUAAAGAGAAUUUGGGCUGGAGAAGAAUCGCUUCUCCCCUCUCCUUAACAUAUCUCUAAUGAUUAUGAUUCUAACCUCUUACCUUAGCAAAAACGGAGAAAUAAUGAUUCAUCUUCAAGUUCCCAAGCUUUUCCUCUCCUCUUUGUUCUUCCUAAGGUACCUUCCAUCAUGUAGGUGAAAUUGCAAGUGGAUUUAGAGCUAAGAAUGAGUGGGAGUGGUUGGUGAAAGAAUGAAUAGGUUGGUGCUAGUUGGCGUGUGAAGAAGGAGGAAAAUUUAGCUUUCUGACUUCAUAUCUCAGGAAGUGAAAAAUGAAUCAUAUGGCUUAUAAUGAGAGUGUGGGUCUCACUUUGGUUCUUUCUUUGUUUUUAAGUAAUAAUAUGUGGUUCACAUUACACAUGGUAUCUUACUUAUGUGAU
rnacentral:lncRNA from 1 species